GACGAACGCUGGCGGCGUGCUUAACACAUGCAAGUCGAACGGAAAGGCCCUGCUUUUGUGGGGUGCUCGAGCGGCGAACGGGUGAGUAACACGUGCGUAACCUGCCCUUGACUUUGGGAUAACUUCAGGAAACUGGGGCUAAUAACGGAUAGGAGCUCCUGCUGCAUGGUGGGGGUUGGAAAGUUUCGGCGGUUGGGGAUGGACUCGCGGCUUAUCAGCUUGUUGGUGGGGGAGUGGCUUACCACGGCUUUGACGGGUAGCCGGCCUGAGAGGGUGACCGGCCACAUUGGGACUGAGAGACGGCCCAGACUCCUACGGGAGGCAGCAGUGGGAAAUAUUGCACAAUGGGCGGAAGCCUGAUGCAGCAACGCCGCGUGCGGGAUGACGGCCUUCGGGUUGUAAACCGCUUUCGCCUGUGACGAAGCGUGAGUGACGGUAAUGGGUAAAGAAGCACCGGCUAACUACGUG
rnacentral:rRNA from 1 species